AGAGUGUAGGCUUGCUGCUAUCUCUUACCCAUGUCUUUUGAGUACUUACGUUUCCUCGGUGGGUUCGCCCGCCGAUUGGACAAUUUAAACCCUUUGCAGUUGCAAUCAGCGUCUGAAAAACAUAAUAGUUACAACUUUCAACAACGGAUCUCUUGGUUCUGGCAUCGAUGAAGAACGCAGCGAAAUGCGAUAAGUAGUGUGAAUUGCAGAAUUCAGUGAAUCAUCGAAUCUUUGAACGCACAUUGCGCCCCUUGGUAUUCCAUGGGGCAUGCCUGUUCGAGCGUCAUUUGUACCUUCAAGCUUUGCUUGGUGUUGGGUGUUUGUCUCGCCUCUGCGUGUAGACUCGCCUUAAAACAAUUGGCAGCCGGCGUAUUGAUUUCGGAGCGCAGUACAUCUCGCGCUUUGCACUCAUAACGACGACGUCCAAAAGUACAUUUUUACACUCUUGACCUCGGAUCAGGUAGGGAUACCCGCUGAACUUAAGCAUAUCAUAGACCCCGGAAAAAACCGAUUACCUAGAGGUGUAGGCUUGCCUGCUAUCUCUUACCCAUGUCUUUGAGUACUUACGUUUUCCUCGGUGGG
rnacentral:rRNA from 1 species